rnacentral:sRNA from 1 species
AUGAUGAACUCCUCGUCUUUCACGAAACGCAGACGGGAUGGUUACUUCCGGCAAAA